GAUGUAGGCGGCUAUUUAAGUCAGAAGUGAAAGCCCAGGGCUCAACCCUGGAAGUGCUUUUGAUACUGGAUAGCUUGAGUGUGGGAGAGGUUCGUAGAAUUUCUGGUGUAGUGGUGAAAUACGUAGAUAUCAGAAGGAAUACCGGUGAGGAAGCUGGCGAACUGGCCCAACACUGACGCUCAGAUCCGAAAGCGUGGGGAGCAAACAGGAUUAGAUACCCUGGUAGUCC
rnacentral:rRNA from 1 species